GCCGGUCACACCACCACACCAUGGAAGAAAGAGGUAGCCUGUUAAACCCACACCUUCUCUUCUUCCACCUCUACUGUCCGGUUGCACUGGGAAAGCCAGGUAUCUGUCUUUUUGUUGUGAAAAGAAAACGGGAAAUCGCCUUCCCAAAUUUUAGGUCUGUUUGUUAUUGUGUUUUUCCUGUGAGCAUGGCCAAGCCUUUAGACAAGUUUGGCUUUCUGUUCGACGACGAUAUUAAUUACAUUCUUAUUCUGCCAGAUAGAAGCUGCCCCUCUCGGCGGAGAGGUUUGAAAGAACGAGCAAACGGAUCAAAGAAGGGAGAGAAAUGAAGAAAAUAAAGACGGCACUCCAGCUUACAGGAUCUAUAAGCCGUGUUUCCUGAAAAGAUAAAUGAUUUCCUAAUGAAUGGAUCCUUUAGGCCAUAAAAAAUCCAUUUAUUUUCUUUUGGAUUUGAAUAGAGGGGAUUUGCAUUUUUUCCAGUGCAGCCCCAUUUAAAUUAAAAUGCAGAGCAUGAGGCUAGCCUACAAUGCAACUAAAUAAUAGUGGGAGGGGCCGCUGUAUUCUUCCUAGGAGCUCAGAGUUUGCUAGCUUUGCCAUAGGAAAAAAGCAGACACUGGUACCAACACCUACUGUUGCAGAAGAGAAUACCACAAGGCCGUUCGGGACACCUUCGAGGCGUGCGAGAAGCUGGGCGGUUGGUUGUGAUCAUGUUUCGUUUAUUCAGGAAACUAGGCAAUGUGUUUAUCUAAGAGGGAAUCUGCCAUUUCGAAAACGGCUGCAGUUCUGACAGCAGCAAAAUAGGUCCUGGUGUCUAAUUAUACUUAGAAGAGGGCAACUUAAAAAAUAAUGAUAAUAAUAAAAGCAGUAGAAUCAAGAUUCCACCCCCCCCAAAAAAAA
rnacentral:lncRNA from 1 species